rnacentral:lncRNA from 1 species
CGCACCCGGGUGGUUGCCAAGGGCCUGCCCCGGCUGCGGGGUUAGUUGCUAGGGCCUCCAUCUUGAGGCCGGUGGCCGCGGCGCCCCCGGAAGGGGUUGCCGAACAGGGCAUUCACUUCCGGUCUGGGGCCUGCGGCGGCGGCGGUGGCGGCGGCGGCGGCGGCGGCAGCGGGUCGGUGUAGAAAAUGGCGCUGGUGCAGCGGCUCGGGCCUCUCCCCGCGGCGCUGCGGAGGGCUUGAGGCUCGCGAGCCUCACUCGCCGCGCCCCACUUGCUCGUGCACUUUACACACAUGAGAGAAUUGGAAGCUAAAGCUACCAAAGACGUAGAAAGGAAUCUUAGCAGGGAUUUAGUGCAAGAAGAAGAACAGUUGAUGGAAGAAAAGAAAAAGAAAAAAGACGACAAGAAAAAGAAGGAAGCUGCUCAAAAGAAGGUAGUAUAUAUGUGUAAACUGUCUAUAUUAAGCGGUCUAAACGGAUUUAAAAAGAAAACUACUCUUACUGG